UUGAGCUUUUAGGCUCACAUUUGACAAUACCACAGUUGCUCCUUGAUGUCUAACUCCAUUUAUUGAGAAAUUGGACUUAUUAUAAUCAAUAACUCACAAACAAUUAAGACCCAAUUUAACAGAAAGUUAUUGAGGACCUGCAGAGUACCAGGCACCAUCUGGAUCUGUCCACUGACGUGAAUCUUUUCCAUGGAAUUCCUUAGUUGGCAGAGGAUGGAAUUCCCUAGUGGGACAGUGUGCAGCCAUUUCCUAGCAUACCUUCCCUGUGCAAGCUUGCUCUGCCAUGCUGGGUGGCUGUGGUGUCGUUCUGGCAGUAGGGGCUGCUGCUGGUCCAGAUUGAAGAGGCGGAGCAGAAGGGUUGAGGGGGGUGAUGUCGGACAGAGUGGAAGUGGAGUUAAUACUGUGGGGAUUGGUGGAAGAGGUGGUGGUGAUGUGUCUGAAUGCGGAGAUUGAAUAACCACCUUUUUCUUUUCUUCAUUUCCUCCCAGCUCCGCAGCCUGUUACACAAAGCUCUUGGUGCUUUGUCUAGCAUAGCUUUCAGACUCCUGUUUUCUCUCUCCAGGCACUGUUUGCUAGCACCCCAUCAACUCUUCAUUCCCCACCUUACUCCCGAGACUCAAACUGUCAACUCUGUCUCUACCUUGUUUCCUCAGCCUGGAACACCCUUCUCCUCACUUAAAAUUCUUUUAUCCUUCAGAGCUCAAAUCAAAUGCUAACUCCUUCUUACAACAAUAAGUGAAGCCAUCUGCCAGGACUUUCGUAUAUAUUAUAUUAUCUAAUCCAUUCCAUUUUGAGUCUUAAGCUUUCUCAUCUUCCUGUUGUGUGUGCGUUUGAACCUGGAAUCUGUAUGGUAC
rnacentral:lncRNA from 1 species